AAUAUGUAAAAUAGGAUAUGUUUGGUGUUUCUCAAUGCUGUUUUUGAAAAGCGGAGCAGUUGUUCUCUCUAAUAUCUCUCUAUCUCUGUACUAGAAAAUCCACAACUACAACAAAUCAACAAAUCGCUUCAUUUUCCUUUCCCUCCACAGAUCUCCAAAAAAUUCCCUCAUCACAAACCCUAAUUUCUCAUCGUCAACACACACAUUCUCUACUCUCUUCUUCUCGUCUUCACUGAUCAAUGACUUUCGAGUCUUCGCGAAUCUCCUUUUCCUCCAUGGACCAACGCUACCCCUGCGAUGCAUGACUUGAGUUUCCGAAGAAACCGUUGUUUCUCAGAUACCGCUAAUCCGAAUCCGAUUACCCAGCCGAUCCUACCGGCGGUCGCCGGAGCUAGAGCCAUCGCCUCAGACUAGGAGGAAUUGGAGGACGAAGAGAGACGUGAUUACCGACGACGGUGAAGGAAGGGACGAGAAGUUGAAAGAAAGAGAAUAACAAGAAGGUAGUUAUUGUUGAGGAAGACAUGGAUGGGUACGAUAGUGGUGGCGGAAGUGCUGAUAAAGCUCCGGAAGCGGAGGAAGAAGGAACCACUCCACCACUUCCUGAGAAGGUUCAAGUUGGCGGUUCGCCUUUAUACAGACUCGAUAGAAAACUUGGGAAGGGAGGAUUUGGACAAGUUUAUGUUGGUAGACGUCUAGGAGCUGGUUCCGGUGCCAUUGAGGUAGCAUUAAAAUUUGAGCAUAGAAGCAGCAAAGGGUGCAAUUAUGGACCUCCCCAUGAGUGGCAGGUUUACAAUACAUUAGGCGGUAGUCAUGGUGUUCCACGGGUACAUUACAAGGGACGGCAAGGUGACUACUAUAUUAUGGUCAUGGAUAUCCUUGGCCCUAGUCUAUGGGAUGUUUGGAAUAACAACUCACACACGAUGUCUAUUGAAAUGGUGGCGUGUAUUGCAAUCGAGGCUAUCUCCAUAUUAGAGAAAAUGCAUUGUAAAGGAUACGUGCAUGGUGAUGUAAAACCUGAAAACUUUUUGCUUGGACCCCCGGGAACCCUUGAUGAGAAAAAGUUGUUUCUGGUUGAUCUUGGAUUAGCAACUCGUUGGCGUGAUAGUUCAACUGGCCUUCAUGUUGAUUAUGAUCAACGCCCAGAUGUGUUCAGGGGCACAGUUCGUUACGCUAGUGUGCAUGCACAUCUUGGUAGAACAGGUAGCAGGAGAGAUGAUUUGGAAUCUCUUGCUUUCACGCUUGUCUUCCUUCUUCGUGGUCGGUUGCCUUGGCAAGGAUACCAGGGAGAAAAUAAAGGAUUUCUUGUCUGCAAGAAAAAAAUGGCAACUUCUCCCGAAGCUUUGUGUUGCUUUUGUCCCGCACCUUUCCGGCAGUUUGUUGAACAUGUAGUGAAUUUGAAGUUUGAUGAAGAACCAAAUUAUGCAAAGUAUAUAUCCCUUUUUGAUGGAAUUGUGGGUCCAAAUCCUGACAUUAGGCCAAUAAAUACCGAGGGUGCGCAGAAGCUUGUAUGCCAAGUUGGACAAAAGAGAGGACGAUUCACAAUGGAAGAGGAUGACAAUGAACAGCCAAAGAAGAGGGUCCGAAUGGGAACGCCGGCAACACAGUGGAUUAGUGUUUACAAUGCUCGGAGACCAAUGAAACAAAGGUAUCAUUACAAUGUGGCUGAUGAGCGGCUCUCCCAACAUAUUGAAAAAGGGAAUGAAGAUGGUUUAUUUAUCAGUAGCGUGGCUUCUUGUGCUAGUCUUUGGGCACUCAUUAUGGAUGCUGGCACUGGUUUCACAGCACAAGUUUAUGAACUGUCUUCCAGUUUUCUUCACAAGGAAUGGAUUAUGGAGCAGUGGGAUAAUAAUUACUACAUCAGUGCCAUAGCUGGAGCUUGUAAUGGGUCCUCAUUGGUUGUAAUGUCAAAAGGGACCCAAUACAUGCAACAAUCCUAUAAAGUUAGCGACUCAUUUCCAUUUAAGUGGAUCAACAAAAAAUGGAAAGAAGGAUUUUUCGUCACUGCUAUGGCCACUGCUGGCACUAGAUGGGCAAUUGUUAUGUCUCGUGGAGUUGGAUUCUCAGACCAGGUUGUGGAACUUGAUUUCCUGUACCCCAGUGAAGGUAUUCAUCGAAGGUGGGAAAACAAUUACCGUAUCACCGCAACUGCUGCGACGCCUGAUCAGGCUGCUUUUAUUUUAAGUGUCCCUAGAAGAAAACCAACUGAUGAAACACAAGAAACACUUCGCACGUCUGAUUUUCCAAGUACUCAUGUUAAGGAAAAAUGGGCAAAGAACCUCUAUAUUGCAUCUAUUAGUUAUGGGAGAACAGUUUCAUAAAUGGCUGAUAUUUUUUGAGAUUCCAGCUGACAUCAUUUUGACUUAUUGCAAGAUCCUGCUUGCCCACACAUCUUUCAGUUGGGAACUGAAAACCCUCCAUGCCAAAUUUCCUGAAUAACGCAGUUCACCGUUGAUUAUCCUAAGUCUGCAUGAUGGACUUCUCCUUGUGAUUCAUUCUACCUGUGGGUGCUUAUUUAGUAUGAUUAUUUUCUAAUAUCAAACACUGCAAGAUGCAUUGGCGAUACAUACUUGUGAGAAGUUGGGCACGUCUUUGAAGCUCAUUUUGGGGAUAAUUUGUAUACAUACCGCUUCACUGUUGAGAGAGUUAGUAACACUUCAAAACAGCCUGGGAUUUGGGAUGGAUAUGUGUGAUAUGGAUGAAACAUGUGAUGUUUAUAUGGCAUGAUGGCAUCUGAGCUGUGUUCCUAAUGUAUUGGCUGUUACUGGUGUACAAUUCCUUCUGUCAAAUCAGAUAUUCAGGUUGUGCGGGUGCUUCAUUUAACAUCAGCUGCUGCUGUGUAACAAGUUGAUGUUUCUUGUUAUUCAAUGUCAUGGUUAUGGCAAAUGAAGCAACCCAAAUGUCAAACGUGGGAAGCUGGUUUUUUUGGCAAAAUCUUUUACCAACAACUGGUUACACCUAUGUAACCCACAUCAUAUAUAAUGCAAGUGACCAAUUUCAAGGAUCAAAGUGCAUCUCUGGCUCUCAUUCACCCUCCCCUUGUUAUAUCCACCCACCUCCAUCCCUCUUUUUAUUCUUCUGCCCCUAUCCAUCCCUUCCUCCUUUUUACAUCAAUUGCUUUUCUCUUGCAGUCAAUUAUGUAAGGUUGUUUGUUUUAAAUAUAUCACUUUGUUCCUCAAUUGAAGAGCAGGGUUUUGUUUUA